UACAGUCAUAUCAUAUUGAAAUACCAGUUCUCGUUUGAUCACCAAAGUUAAGCAACAUCAAUCCUGGUCAGUACCUAGACAGGUAACCACUUGGGAAUACCAGGUGCUGUAA